rnacentral:rRNA from 1 species
CGGUAGCCGGACUGAGAGGUUGGACCGGCCACAUUGGGACUGAGACACGGCCCAGACUCCUACGGGAGGCAGCAG